rnacentral:rRNA from 1 species
GAUGAACGCUGGCGGCGUGCCUAAUACAUGCAAGUCGAGCGAACGGACGAGAAGCUUGCUUCUCUGAUGUUAGCGGCGGACGGGUGAGUAACACGUGGAUAACCUACCUAUAAGACUGGGAUAACUUCGGGAAACCGGAGCUAAUACCGGAUAAUAUUUUGAACCGCAUGGUUCAAAAGUGAAAGACGGUCUUGCUGUCACUUAUAGAUGGAUCCGCGCUGCAUUAGCUAGUUGGUAAGGUAACGGCUUACCAAGGCAACGAUGCAUAGCCGACCUGAGAGGGGGGUCGGCCACACUGGAACUUAGACACGGUCCAGACUCCUACGGUAGGGAGCAGUAGGGAAUCUUCCGCAAUAGGCGAAAGCCUGACGGAGCAACGCGGCGUGAGUGAUGAAGGUCUUCGGAUCGUAAAACUCUGUUAUUAGGGAAGAACAUAUGUGUAAGUAACUGUGCACAUCUUGACGGUACCUAAUCAGAAAGCCACGGCUAACUACGUG